GGGGUUGUGCCUCAGUGGUAGAGCACUCAUCUAGAACAUGAGAGAUCCUGGGUUCAAUGCUCAGCACCACA
rnacentral:tRNA from 1 species